AUAAUUCCCUCUGUGUCUCUAAUGUGAUUAUUAAAGUUUUUUAUUCCAUAGUAAUAAUAAUAAGAAUACAUUAAACUUAUAUAGCGUUUCUCAAGACACUGAAAGACGCUUUCUACUAAUCAGAUGACAAUAACAGUAAGGUGAGUGAGCAGAAAGCCCAGCUGGCGGGGGUUGGUGUCAGCGACGUUCCACCACGGAAUGCAGAAAUUCAUGCCAGCUGGCGAGAGUCGAGCUGGACGUCAGGGGACGCGGAAGGAUGGUCGGUAGCUGAGCUCACUGCACGCAUGUUCACGACUGACAACCGAAGCCGGGUGUUUGAAAGCUUGCUGAGAGAGAGAUAGCUCUGACUGACGGGAGCAAGCCCGUGUGCCCGGCACAGCGAGUGGACAAGCGUUCAACUACUGUAUUUGGGCUCACUUCAGUUAAAUUCUAGGAACUGACUCCGCCUCUUGUCUGACCGCUCCUACAGAAGACCUAGGAUGGAGUCUCAGGACCAAGUGACAAGAAAUCUUGCAGAGGAUUCACACACGAUUCAGUCUCCUUCUCAGAAAUGAACCCAUUGAUUUGGAAUACCUCCUCGAUGUUGCUCAACAAGAGCUUUCAUUGGCAACAUCCAUCCAUCCAUCCAUUUCAACACCGCUUAUCCUGGUUAGGGUCGCGGGACGCUGGAGCCUAUCCCAGCUAACUUCCGGCGAAAGGCGGACUACACCCUGAACUGGUCGCCAGUCAGUCGCAGGGCACAUAUAGACACGGACAACCAUUCACACUCACAUUCACACCGUCACUGAGUGGGAACUGAACCCACGCUGCCUGCACCAAAGUCAGGCGAGUGUACCACUACACCAUCAGUGACUUCAUUGGCAACAGUGGCAUCAAAUUACCUGAGCAUCCCACGAGAAGUCCUUAACAGUCUACAGGAGUUGAUCAACACCCUUAGUUUGAAUGUUGUAUCUGCUCCAGCUCCUAAAGCCUCCGAUAACGUGUCAAAUACUGUAACUGUAAAUUAUGGGAAUCGGGGACGGCCACGCCUGGAAAUUGACUCUGAUAACGUUCAUAGUCUCCUAUGUACUGGUAUUCCAGUGGAAUAUUUUUCAAGGUUGUAUGGGGUGUCAAGAAGAACACUGAAAGAACAUGGCCUUUCUGUUCGUGGAUUCUAUUCACAAAUAUCUGAUGAUGAACUUGAUCGUGUUGUCAGGUCCAUAAAAACAAGAAUGCCCCAUGCUGGGUAUAGACUGGUAAAAGGUGAGCAGUUAGCCAGAGGCUACCGUAUUCAGUGGCAUAGGGUGAAGGCAACUAUGCAGCGGGUGGAUGGAGCAGGAGUUUUGCCAAGGAUGGUACAACUUGGAUUUGUAGCUCGCAGAAGCUACUGUGGUCCUGCACCAUUGUCCUUGGUUCAUGUAGACACCAACCAUAAGUUAAUCAGAUUCUAUAUCUUGAUGCUGCCACAAACAACAAAGCCUCAACAGCAUUCUCCUUCUUCAUGGAUGGUGUCCACAAACAUGGCUGGCCCUCAAGGAACUGGACGUGGCAGCUUCAUUGCUGGCGAAAGUGUCCACAAUCAAAGAAUGAAGAGGCUGUGGUGUGAUAUGUAGUCAGCUGUCACUUCUCAAGUCUGAUCUGAAGUGCUUUAUGAGGAGUUGGAACACGCAUCCAAUCAGAACUGAAGAAAACGUUUCUCCGGAACAGCUGUGGUACAUUGGAAUUCUCCAAACACCUGUGGCUGAACCAAAUAUUAUAGAGGUUUCAUCUUUUUCUCCAGCAUAACAGCACUGAUCCUAACCCAGAUGAUGGGGUGGUAGUGUCAGACAUCCCUUGCCCCCUGUCCGACCAUUGCGUUGAUGUCCUUCAGGGAUUCAUAAAUCCCAUCACUUUGACCUUGUGUGACCAGGAACUUUAUAUUCAGACACUAGAUCUUCUGCGAAGAGUGAGUGGUCUAAUUCAUUCACUGCAACUUUGAACUGAGACACUAUCAGCAAACUUGUAAAAUGUAGAAUUUUAAAAUUUUAUAUUUUGUUAUGAGGUAUUUAUGUGGAUGACUUUCAAGUAGUAUCAACAUUCAAGAUUUAGUUUGGAGUUUAUUUUUCCAAAGAUGAUUUGUUGUUCAUUCAGUGCCUCUUUGAUGUGGUGUUAAAACAUUUUUUUUUCUAUAUAUUAUCUUCUGUUCAAAAUUGACUGGAUGCUGUGUAUUUCCUUGUCUGACAUCCUGUCCCGGUUGAAUUGCAUAUGACUUUGUUGUCACAUUGUAUUGUGACUUAAUAAUAACACUUUUGAAACUGGUCCACCCUCAGAACCCACCAUUAACUGCAAUAAAUAACAAUCAAGUCAUCACUCAAUCAACUUUAUAUAUUAGCAUUCUCAGACAGCAAAAAAUACAACCAGUAAAUACAAGGGUGCAAAAAUUCAGACUCCUUUCCCACCUGCCCAAAAUGCCAAUUUCUUUUUUAGAAAAAAUUGCACCUAAUUGUAUUGUACUAUAUAAAACAGGAGUAACAUUUUUUUCUCGACAUAACCUGCAAACACACAAAAUGAGAGCACAAAACAUCCUAACUAUAUAACACUAAUAGCAUUUGUUCCCCACAUAACUGGGCAACACAAAAACAAUUUGCACAAAGCAUGGCAUCUUCCUUUCUAAAACACAGUAACAUUUGUUUGCACAUAACCCUGAAACAUGAAAAAUGUGAGCACAAUGUGGGGUCUAAUGGCGGUUAGCAUACAAGCUUAAUGGUGCAUUAUCACAACCAACUGAUAUUUUCUUUCCACUGCAAAAAUUCCAGGGAAAGACCUGUAAAAAAUAUGUUACAGUAAAUUAACAGCACUGCACAGCAUGUUCAAAUAAUAACAAUCUUUGUUUGACCAUUAGUUUUACAGUACUGUGUUUUGUCCUCCAGAGCAUAUAUGUCAAACUCAGGCCGAGGGGCCAAAUUUGGCCCACGAUGUAAUUAAAUGUGGCCCGCAAGACCAUAUUAAAUGUGUAUUGGAGCUGGCCCGCCAGUAUAUAGCACAUGCGCCACUAAUAUUACAAAACCCAGAAUUAUUUGCUAGUGUGUUGGCCCAUCAGUCUAGAACCGCGAGCGACCCUUCCCUUUCUGUUGCAGUCGUUAGCAACUAUGCUACCAGUCUACUCGAGCGAAUUUACAAUUCCCCGUCCCAAAAAUGGCCAAACGAAAGAUGGAAAACAGUUAACUUCCAAGACAGGUGGGAGGCAGAUUAUCUGUUCACUAAAGUAAAAUAUAAUAUAUAUAAUAUAACAAUUUAAUGAAUGUUUUUUCUUUAAUGCCCUUUAUCAACGCCUAGGCAGGGAAUGUUAAUAGUUUGAGGUUUGGAUUUUUAUUGAAGGACAUUCUUAUUUUUUUGGGUUGUUUUGUUGUUGGCCUUUGAUUUAAAGAUUUACAUCAAAGAGAAAGGUAGUUGGAGAUAGAUAAAUAGAAGCUAGAGAGACAGAAGAAUUCAUGUUAUCUAUUUAAAUACAAAACAAACAAAUACCACUUAUGUGUUUUAUUGCAAAUUUCAUUUCUCGGGUUUAUAAUAUCAAAGUUUGUUUAUUCCAGAUUCAGUGUUUAAGCAAAAUGUAAGUUUGUUCUCAAUGAUAAACUUUGUAACGCUACAUUUCUCCAGAAAAGGAUAUUGAGUUUGGCCCAUGACGUUGUCCCAAUUUUUAUUUUUGGCCCACUGUAAAUUUUAGUUUGACACCCCUGCUCGAGAGUAAUUGCUGUUAGAUGUAUUAAAAAUAUUUAUUAUUAAACAUGAAUUAAAACCUUA